ensembl:lncRNA
GUUCUGUGUUGGUUGUUGCUCAGAGACAGGUUUUGUAAAGGAUUUUGUAGCUGGUCCUGCUAAGAGGGGAAGGCACCUUGGGAGUGUUUAGGCAGGAGGCCUGCGGGCAUGCAUAUACCUGUCGUAUGUACUCGAGUCUAUGCACACUUGCCCCUUUUCCCCAAAUUACCGUGUGAAGGAAGAAUAAAUUCCCUGUUAACGGAGACUGUUACCAUGGCCACCAUGACCCUAUCACUGCUUCUCCCCGCUGUUCUGCUCGGAACACUUGACAGGUUAUGAUCAUAGAUGCCAGGCACACCGGUUUGAGUGUGUCAAGAACUGCAACGCUGCUGGGUUUAUCACAACAGUUUCCCGUGGGUACCAAAGGACAUCCGUAGAACUUGACACAACUGUGGGAAGCAUUGGCGUCAACAUGGGCCAGCAUCCCUGCGGAACACUUUCCACACCUUGUAGAGUCCACGCCCCGAUGAAUUGAGGUUGUUCUGAAGACCAAAAAGGGGGUGCAACUCAAUAUUAGGAAGGUGUUCUUAAUGUUUUGUCUGUCAUUGUAUGCAUAUUUCUAUUUUUAAGAAAGCAAAAAUGGCAAAUAAUUGCAUCUUGUUAUAGUCACCAGUUAUUUUUUUUAAAAUGUGUCCCAUCACCCAUUUGCACAAAAUACUAGGCCUGCUUGCAAUGCAAUACUUCAACCAUAAGGAAUUGUGCAUACGCAUGGUCUAACGUUUGCAGAAAGCUAAGAACAUUCUCA